CCUACGGGAGGCAGCAGUAAGGAAUAUUGGUCAAUGGAGGGAACUCUGAACCAGCCAUGCCGCGUGCAGGAAGACGGCCCUACGGGUUGUAAACUGCUUUUGCACGGGAAUAACCCUCAUUAUGUAUAAUGAGCUGAAUGUACCGUGAGAAUAAGGAUCGGCUAACUCCGUGCCAGCAGCCGCGGUAAU
rnacentral:rRNA from 1 species